GUCCAGACUCCUACGGGAGGCAGCAGUGGGGAAUAUUGCACAAUGGGGGAAACCCUGAUGCAGCGACGCCGCGUGAGUGAAGAAGUACUUCGUUAUGUAAAGCUCUAUCGGCAGGGAAGAAAAUGACGGUACCUGAGUAAGAAGCCCCGGCUAACUCCGUGCCAGCAGCCGCGGUAAUACGGAGGGGGCAAGCGUUGUCCGGAAUCAUUGGGCGUAAAGAGUUCGUAGGCGGUAUGUUAAGUCUGGUGUUAAAUGCAGAAGCUCAACUUCUGUUCGGCACUGGAUACUGGCAAACUAGAAUGCGGUAGAGGUAAAGGGAAUUCCUGGUGUAGCGGUGAAAUGCUUAGAUAUCAGGAGGAACAUCGGUGGCGUAAGCGCUUUACUGGGCCGUAAUUGACGCUGAGGAACGAAAGCCAGGAUAGCAAAUGGGAUUAGAUACCCGAGUA
rnacentral:rRNA from 1 species